rnacentral:rRNA from 1 species
UACGUAGGGUGCAAGCGUUGUCCGGAUUUAUUGGGCGUAAAGAGCUCGUAGGCGGUUUGUCGCGUCGGAUGUGAAAACCCAGGGCUCAACCCUGGGCCUGCAGUCGAUACGGGCAGACUAGAGUCCGGCAGGGGAGACUGGAAUUCCUGGUGUAGCGGUGAAAUGCGCAGAUAUCAGGAGGAACACCGGUGGCGAAGGCGGGUCUCUGGGCCGGAACUGACGCUGAGGAGCGAAAGCGUGGGGAGCGAACGGG